rnacentral:lncRNA from 1 species
UCCGCAACUUUGCUGGCAGCCACAAUGGCAGCAGCCAUGCCGGAGGAUUUGGUGGCGCUGAGACCCUUGGAGCUAGCAAGGUGCAGUACAACGGCCAAGACGACCUGCUGGGUGCUGACUACUUCUCCGAGUCGGAGGACCGUCAUGCGGGCAGGUCAGCGUAAGUUUACAGUGUCGCAGAACAUCUUGAGGCAAGGUAACAAUAAUGGAUGCCCGGCGGGUGCUUGUUAGGGAAAACCCAAAGCUUGAUGAUGCAUCCGGGGUAGGUUAGUAAAAGAGAAGUAUUUUGGCAUUCUGCUUUGGUUUUGCAUGCUAUUUUGAGAUGAGAACAGUUAUGGUGAUGCUUCUAGCAACGAUUACUGUUUUUAUCUUAUACUAGGAAAAUGGCCCGUUGCAACGGGAUUAAAGUUUAUUGCAGUCCAACACUCUUAAUACAAUCACUAUUAUUUCCUAAAACUACUACUAAGUAUGGUAAAAUAUCCCAAACAUCAAGAAGAAUUGUUGUUUGAAGACCAUCUUUGCAAAAAAGUCAAACAAAUGCGUAGGUUAUUUUUUUUUCUGCAAGUGAAAAUAUAUGCAUUAUUUGACUUGCAUGCCGUGUUUCGCUAUUGAGUAAAGACCAGAAUGCGAGAUAACCGGUUAUAGUAAAAUUUAAUGUACUUAGUAUUGUUGAAGUUAUUAAGAUAAGUGUCGUAACUUUUUUUCAUCUCAAUUGGCUAAAGCAACCCAUUUUGGAAGUAGCACUAAAAUUAAGUAUGCAAUCAGUUCAUCUUUUGACCUGAGAGAAUUGAUCAAUAUGUACUCCCUCCGUCACGGUUUAGAAGGCACAGUUAAACUUGCGUGCGUUUCCAAAAUAGACAAGGUUUAAGGCGCGAAAGCAAUUACUCCUAUUAAUUAGUACUAGUACUACUCUUGCAUGCGCCCUUCCAAUUUGCUACUCACACAUUAGUACUAGUAUUUUCUCAGUUGAUUAGGCGCAUUAGCAUUUACACCUGCUACAUCUCACAACCAAUCGAUGACUACCUUGGUCCCAGAGAUUUUCCAAGCGUGCCUUCUAAACCGUGACGGAGGGAGUAAUUCAAUGCCAUUGAUUAAAUUUUGAAGACGUAGUUAAAAAGCUUCCAAAAUAUAUGCAGACCCUUAUACUAUUGAGAGCUAACCCACUACCAAUUAACCGUGCAUGUAAUUUUCUCCCUGGUUAAUCCUCCUUUGAUUUUAUACAUGUAUAGAAUGAGCGUGCAACGUGCAUGACCCAUUUGAUCCCUUUAAAUAGGACUGGGCAUCUUUUGUUCCUUAGAUAUUCCGACUCUAUUCAUUUCCUUCUUUCUUUGAUCAUGUAGAAUGGUGCAACGUGCAUAUGCUGGACAGCUUGCCUUCUUUAUACUAGAUGACCCGUUGCGCCCAUGGCGCAAAAAGCAUUGGUGAGCCAAGCAUUGUAAGCAUGUGUAUGUGCCAGUUUAAUAUAUAUACCUUUAUCUGAUUACAUCAUGACGCUAAUAAGUAGAUAUAUACUGGUUGUUUAAUCUGAGGUGCUGUCAUGUUCUUCUCAAGAUCAAAAUAUUGCACUUUUGUUUAAAAUUUUGAGACCCCUCAUAAAUUAACUUGUUCUUAUUAGCACAAUUGCGAUCUAUAUCACCGCAGAAAUGUGUACAGCAGGUCAAGUCGUUCUGAAAGCGAGCAGCUCAUUUACAAAAUCAACUAAUGACAAAUUUAUGUUUUGUGUGCAGUGUGCACUCAUCUUCAUUGUGAGAACCUGGGGCGUCUCACAUAGCUGAGCACAACACUCUCCCUCCCAACUUAUAUAAGUAUAACUAAUUUCAUACAGUAGUAGUGGGAUUAAUAAACAAAUUCAGUUUCCUUGUUCUCUAAUUUGAACGAAUUGCAUAUAGUAGCAGUAAUCAGACUCCAUAAUUUUUUCUCACAUCUGCAUGGAUGAAGCUUAUCUAAUUUAGGCCUUUGCUAUGUUACUUUGGUAAUGAUUUGCCGUGUGCAUAGCAAUAUUGAUGAUUUGUUAUAUUGUGAGUGAUGGGCAUCUUUCUGCUUGUGCAUGGGUGGCAUUUUAUUACCUGCUAACUGAGUUUGUUGCAGCCCAUUUAAAGAAAAAAGAAGCCUACAUUCAUGUCACAUAGUUCUUGCUUGCGUACAAUUGUUGUUCUCUCUUCAUAUCAGUUUCAUCACGUCAGGUUUAUAUCCUCACAACUUCACUAAUAAGAAUUUGAAGUCAAAACUCCCACCUGGGUGUAGGAAGAAUACUCUUGCCUGUUCUAUUUGUAGAGGCUGGGGAAAAGUAAAUUAUACUAUUCUGGGAUUGAGUUAGAGACCAACCAUCACUAUGUACCAUGAGCUCUUACAAUAUGUCUUUAUACCAUGGAAGACAUGCCAUCAAAAUAAAAUUAAUUAUGACACUUUAGAUAUUAAAUCUAUUAAAACAAAUAGUCCUUGACAUAAAGACAACUCAAAUCAAAGGAAAGCAG